rnacentral:rRNA from 1 species
UACGUAGGGAGCGAGCGUUGUCCGGAAUUACUGGGUGUAAAGGGAGCGUAGGCGGGACUGCAAGUCAGAUGUGAAAUUUAUGGGCUUAACCCAUAACGUGCAUUUGAAACUGUGGUUCUUGAGUGAAGUAGAGGUAAGCGGAAUUCCUAGUGUAGCGGUGAAAUGCGUAGAUAUUAGGAGGAACAUCAGUGGCGAAGGCGGCUUACUGGGCUUUAACUGACGCUGAGGCUCGAAAGCGUGGGGAGCAAACAGG